rnacentral:lncRNA from 10 species
AAUCUGUGAGGCAGGAAGCCAGCUAGUAGGACUUUCACUUUGUUGGGAGUUCCUAUUUCCUUUUUUUCCUCUUUGCCCAAUAAAUUCAAUUUUUCUCACCCUUCAAAGUGCCUGUGAGCCUAAUCUCUCCUGGCUAUGUGACAAGGACCCCGUUUUUAGCUGAACUAAGGAGAAAGUCCUACAACAUAACUAGAUGAGGUUACGGCAGGCACUAAAUCUGCCCCGAGUGCUUGACUCAGCCUCACUUGAUCCGCUGCAACAGCCUCCCCUCUGGACUGAGAUGGCCAUCUUGCCUGUUUUCAUAAAAGUCUGAAAUACGGAGGAGACCCUGAUUUAUAUUUUCCAUAGAAGAGAAGAGAGAUUGAGAUGACUCUCUUGCAGUGAGGUAUGGCGUGUCCUCUCCAUGACAAUGUGAG